rnacentral:rRNA from 1 species
AUUGAACGCUGGCGGCAGGCCUAGCACAUGCAAGUCGAGCGAGCGGCGGACGGGUGAGUAAUGUCUGGGAAACUGCCUGAUGGAGGGGGAUAACUACUGGAAACGGUAGCUAAUACCGCAUACCAUCAGAUGGGGCCAGAUGGGAUUAGCUAGUAGGUGGGGUAAUGGCUGACCUAGGCGACGAUCCCUAGCUGGUCUGAGAGGAUGACCAGCCACACGGGAACUGAGACACGUUCCAGAAUCCUACGGGAGGCAGCAGUGGGGAAUAUUGAACAAUGGGCGCAAGCCUGAGGCAGCCAUGCCUCGUGUAUGAAGAAGGCCUGCGGGUUGUAAAGUACUUUCAGCCGGGAGUCGUUACCCGCAGAAGAAGCACCGGCUAACUCCGUGCCAGCAGCCGCGGUAAUAC